CAGUAAAAAAAAAAAAAAAGCAUUGCAAAACACAUUGAGAAAUACAGAAUGACUGGAUAAGAUUGUUCCAUCUCCAUCCUUAUAAAGAGACGGGUAACUCACGACUGCUCAGCAGAGACAUCCACAUCACCUCUAGAUCUCACAGUGCUCACCUGCUGUCUGUGACACCAGUUUUUUUUUUGGUUCUGACAAACAAGCUGUGGAAAGGAUGAAGGGUGUUAUGAUCUUUCUGGUGUUGAUGCUGGUCGUCAUCAUGGUUGAUGCUGAGGAGAGUCGUCCUCAAAAUGAUGGUGUCCGCCUGCCGCCCCGGCGCAUAGCCAUACCUGGACUGUAUAUCAGAUUUGGAGCAUCUCAAGAUGAAGUGGCCAACGAUAAACUGAGGCGAUACUAUGAAAACUGAGUCUGUUCUUGAUUUUGAAGAUAUAGUUUGAGCUAUAUCUUUGUGCUUUGCAAAGCAAGAAAUAAUUGGAUGUGUAAACAUGAAGCUCUUGAGAUGUAGUGAUUUUAGUCACAGCUACAACUGAUAGUGAAAACUAUCCUGUUGAAUAAAGCUGCAUUCCAAAAGACCGUCUGUGUGUUGUGGUGUUAUUUAAGUGAACAUAUGUUUGUAAUUUUACUGGUGAUGAUGAUCAAGAACAUUGUUUUUCAUCAAUUCGGAGGUCAAUGUUUAUAUUAAGUAGAUCUAAAUAAUAAGUGUGUUGGUGUGAUCAGUUUAUUGAAUAAACUCUCUUCCUAUUAACUAAUAAAUCUAAAUGUUGAUGAUGUCAUUUGACAGAAAACUAUUUCAAAAAUGAAGCGAAAUAGGUGAGCAGGUGGUCGAGUGGUUAGAGCGCAUGCUACAUACGCAGCUGACCUCGGUUCGAUUCCGGCCAGAGGUCCUUUGCUGCAUGUCAUAUC
rnacentral:lncRNA from 1 species